rnacentral:lncRNA from 1 species
AACUAUUAAUUACAAUUAUUCUUUUGUAAUUGAAUUUUAAUAACUUUUAUAAUAACCAAAAAAGUAUACUGAAAUUUAAUAAAAAUUCAAAAAUAAUAUAUUAAUCAAUCUACCAAAAUUUAACCACUAAUGUAGUACAAGUUUAAAAAUAUAGCUAAAAUCUUACAUCUUAUUUAAUUAUUAAUAAUAGUAUUAUAAAAUUAUAAAAUUUAACUUUGAUUAAAUCUAUUAAAGUCAUAUUAAAUCCAAUCUACAUACAUCUAACACUCUUAG